GAUGAACGCUGGCGGCGUGCUUAACACAUGCAAGUCGAACGGUGAAGGCGGAGCUUGCUCUGCUGGAUCAGUGGCGAACGGGUGAGUAACACGUGAGCAAUCUGCUCCUGACUCUGGGAUAAGCGCUGGAAACGGCGUCUAAUACUGGAUACGAGCUGCGAAGGCAUCUUCAGCAGCUGGAAAGAACUUCGGUCAGGGAUGAGCUCGCGGCCUAUCAGCUUGUUGGUGAGGUAACGGCUCACCAAGGCGUCGACGGGUAGCCGGCCUGAGAGGGUGACCGGCCACACUGGGACUGAGACACGGCCCAGACUCCUACGGGAGGCAGCAGUGGGGAAUAUUGCACAAUGGGCGAAAGCCUGAUGCAGCAACGCCGCGUGAGGGACGACGGCCUUCGGGUUGUAAACCUCUUUUAGCAGGGAAGAAGCGAAAGUGACGGUACCUGCAGAAAAAGCGCCGGCUAACUACGUG
rnacentral:rRNA from 1 species